rnacentral:rRNA from 1 species
UACGUAGGGUCCGAGCGUUGUCCGGAAUUACUGGCGUAAAGGAGCUCGUAGGUGGUUUGGUCGCGUUGUUCGUGAAAACUCACAGCCUUAACUGUGGGCGUGCGGGCGAUACGGGCAGACUGGAGUACUGCAGGGGAGACUGGAAUUCCUGGUGUAGCGGUGGAAUGCGCAGAUAUCAGGAGGAACACCGGUGGCGAAGGCGGCAUCCUGGACCGAUAUUGACGCUGAUGACGCGGAAAGCCAGGGGAGGCAAACGGG